CUCUAGAUUAGAGUUUGAUCAUGGCUCAGAUUGAACGCUGGCGGCAUGCCUUACAAAUGCAAGUCGAACGCGAAAGGGGGGCAACCCCCGAGUAGAGUGGCGAACGGGUGAGUAAUACAUCGGAACGUGCCCAGUAGCGGGGGAUAACCUCUCGAAAGAGAGGCUAAUACCGCAUACGUCCUACGGGAGAAAGAGGGGGAUCGCAAGACCUCUCACUAUUGGAGCGGCCGAUGUCGGAUUAGCUAGUUGGUGGGGUAAUGGCCCACCAAGGCUACGAUCCGUAGCUGGUCUGAGAGGACGACCAGCCACACUGGAACUGAGACACGGUCCAGACUCCUACGGGAGGCAGCAGUGGGGAAUUUUGGACAAUGGGCGCAAGCCUGAUCCAGCCAUGCCG
rnacentral:rRNA from 2 species